ensembl:lncRNA MIR663AHG MIR663A host gene
CCUGAGAGAGUCCACAUCCACAGACUGUUUCAUUUCCCUUUUUCAAUUUACAUAGAAGCAUAGAUUCUUGCUGGCAUAUACAAAUGCGCCAUUUAAGGCAAUCAAAAAUGGUUCCACAUCUCAUCUGAUUUCCACAAUUGUUGCUGUAACGAUGGACUACUGAGGAGAGAGACAAUUUCUCUGGCACAUCUUCCCACAUUUUAGCAACAUGUUCAUGGAGAGCCAAUAUUCAGUAAUUACAGCCCAAUUCCUCACAAUUUCACAAUUCGCUAACAAUAUGCAUUUUCACAAUGUAAAGCUGAUUUUCCUUUAACCAAAUCAAACAUGAAAAGAUAGCUGCAUGCAAUGGGCAAUCUAGAUCAUUAGAAGAUUGAUGUAAAAUUAGAGGACACUGAGACUGGAAUAGAUUGCAAACUUCAGGGAGCUCAGAAAACUUGUAAACUCUACAUUUUGAGGAAAUAUGUUGUCGAUGCUUUUGCAACUCUAUGCAGUAACUUAACAAAUAAAGCCUUAAAGUAACUUAUCUACGAGUUACUUUGUCAUUAUUUGCAACUAUUUCACAUCAUACAGCUUCUCUAGGAAGUCCUCAGCUUAUUCACCAAAAUAAAAUUUCUAGUUAUAA